AACCACUAUAGCAGCAAUCUUGAUUUGUAGCUUUCGUGACUGCAGGGAUCCACACUCAUUGGUUCUUUCGGUAAAGUCACGUGGGUAGAAAAAUAAAAUAAACGACGACGUUUCGAUCGCAACACGAGCGGUCGUUAUUGGCAACUAAUAAUUCGCGAUCCAAUAAUCCACGAAUCCCUGUAAUGUGCGGUUAAUUUUGCGCUUCGCGGUUGCUCCAGUAAUCCGCGGAAUUCCGCGGUGGACUGACCCCAAAUCGCGAUCCGUAGAUUAGGGCCGAGCUAACGUGGAGCUUCAGGGAAAAGCAGAGGUGUGCCCCAUCAUGGCCGCGGCACGGAAGUCCCUGAGUGAGGACUCUCGCGGGGCGUGGGUGACGAUGGGACUGGACGAAUUUUUUCCCCUCCUUCCUUUCUCUGGUCAUGGCAAUCGCUUCCUGCGGACCUUCGCUUGCCUUUCGAGUAGCCGAGCGACACGAGCACCUGGGCCGUCUCGCCCGUCACCUGGAUGAAGAAGAGGGGCGUGAAAAAGCGCACGGGAUGGGAGCAGGGAUGAAGUUCUGCUUGGGCUAGGUGCACUUUGAGGCCACGUGUGCGGAAGACUCGCUUUGGAGGAGGUUACGGAACAGGCCCAGGCGGUGAGGCGGCCUACGGCAUUAAGGUGACGAUUCGUGAACACGACUAUGACUUUGUGCCGAGUUAAUCGUCAUCGCCCUGCCCACCCAGAGCCCCCUUUUAUUCUGCUCCUCCCUCCCACUCCUGCUUGUUGUCGUCGUCAUCAUCAUCGUCGUCGUCGCCGCCGCCGUGGUCACC